rnacentral:sRNA from 1 species
GCACUUCAAUUUAUUUUUAAUUCCAAAAAUAUAUUACAGUAAGGGGAUUACUACAAAUAUAUAUUUCUUACAAUUUUAUAGAAUAGUAGUGCCAAAAUGAUAAAAUUUAAAUGGAAAACUAAAAGAGUUCAUCAUCAAUGAUCAAGUGAAACGUAAGAUAUUAAGAGCAUCCCCAACGGUGGGCUUUAAUGAGUCCCUUUAAAAAGAAAAAAGAAAUUAAUUAAAAAAGUAAGAGAGAGAAGAGGAAAAAGAGAAAUGAGUCCCUAACGAGAGGGCUUUGCUUUACUGGACUAAGAAACCCACUUUACAUGUGGAAAAAUAUUAUUGAUCAA